AGAAGAAGGCUGCCACCAAGAAGAAGGCCACCAAGAAAGCCCCCGCCAAAAAGGCCACCAAGAAGAAGGCUACCAAGAAGAAGGCCACCAAGAAGAAGGCCACCAAGAAGAAGUAAAU
rnacentral:ribozyme from 1 species